UACAGAGGGGGCAAGCGUUAUUCGGAAUUAUUGGGCGUAAAGGGCGCGUAGGCGGUUCUUCAAGUCUCUCGUGAAAUCCCUCGGCUUAACUGAGGACGUGCGGGAGAUACUGAAGGGCUUGAGUCCGGAAGAGGGUGGUGGAAUUCCCAGUGUAGCGGUGAAAUGCGUAGAUAUUGGGAGGAACACCGGUGGCGAAGGCAGCUCGCUGGGACGUUACUGACACUGAGGCGCGAAAGCGUGGGGAGCGAACAGG
rnacentral:rRNA from 1 species